UUACGGCCACAUCAUGUCGAAAAACCGCUUCUGGUACGAUCACCAAAGUUAAGCAACAUUGAGCAUGGGCAGUACUUAAAUGGGUGACCGCUUGGGAAUACCAGGUGCCGUAAG